AUUGAACGCUGGCGGCAGGCCUAACACAUGCAAGUCGAACGAGUGGCGGACGGGUGAGUAAUGUCUGGGAAACUGCCUGAUGGAGGGGGAUAACUACUGGAAACGGUAGCUAAUACCGCAUACCAUCGGAUGUGCCCAGAUGGGAUUUGCUAGUAGGUGGGGGAAAGGCUCAACUAGGCGACGAUCCCUUGCUGGUCUGAACGGAUGACCCGCACCACUGGAACUGAGACAAGGUCCAGACUCCUACGGGAGGCAGCAGUGGGGAAUAUUGCACAAUGGGAGCAAGCCUGAUGCAGCCAUGCCGCGUGUAUGAAGAAGGCCUUCGGGUUGUAAAGUACUUUCAGCGGGGAGGCGUUACCCGCAGAAGAAGCACCGGCUAACGCCGUGCCAGCAGCCGCGGUAAUUC
rnacentral:rRNA from 1 species